AAAAAGCUAAACCCUGGGUUUCCGUGUCCAGAUCGUUCGUUUGAUAUGAAAUUUUUUUAUAAUUAGUAUUUUCAUUAUUGUUAGAUGAUAAAAUAUAAAUAAUAUUUUAUACGUGACUUGUCUUUUUAAUAUUUUUUAUAAUUUUUUCAAAUAAAAUAGACGAUCAACGUUGGAUACGGAAGACCAGAGCCACUGAGC
rfam:Oryza nivara chromosome 2, whole genome shotgun sequence.